rnacentral:lncRNA from 1 species
AAACAUAUCUAUCCUGUUUUAUCAUUAAAUCCGUAACGAUGGCAUUUUCUCCAUGUAAAUGAUUCACUUUGUCUUCUAUCACUUUUGCAUUUGUAAUGAGCUGAUUUCAAUGCGUUGGUUUGAGGGCUCGUGCUGUAGCCUAAACACACUCCCACAGCUGAGUAGUGUGACAAGAUUAGAGCUGUAAACAUGAACAUUCUCCCGUAAUUUUUUUCUCCCCCAGAUGAGAAUGAAUUUCACGGACGCCAGAGGGUUAGAAGAGAGUUAAACCUGAACUGCAGAUGUUUGGAUGUGAGGAAUAUCGUAGUGUCGCCCCAUUUGAUAACUGGGCCACGGUCCUAUGCAGUAGAAGAAGUGGGGGAUGGGAUGGAGAUAGAGGAGAAGCUCACUGCCAAUCUCGUUCCUCUCCCAGUGAAAUCUCCUAGACAGCUCCAGAAUAACCCCUGCUGGGAGAGAUUUAACACGUCCAAUUCCAACUGUGCUCAGACGCAUUCCGAAACGGGCGUCGACGAUCCUCCACCUCAGAAGAAUAGAAAAGUUGCUCAAAGCAAAAAAUAUUCCUCACCGCAAUCUGAACAAACAAACAUCAAACAACAGAGACUGAAGCAGCGACUGCUGCCACUGACCAGGUCCCAUUGGGGCCCAGCCUCUUCAUGUGUUUUGUGUGUAGAGCAGUCUGCAGAGGAACUAGCAGUGCCAUGGCGGUGUAGGGCGAUGGUGGCACAGAACCCUGAACCAUCUCGGCUCCCUUCCAGAAUCCUGCCAAACCUCCAAAACACAAUUAGAGCAUCUGGCUGUGAGAUACUGGAGCUGUGCCGACGUAUGUCCUCUAGGAUGAACUAUGUGAACCAUGUGAGCCCGACCACAUCUGGAACUGGAACAAGACCGGUGGGUUGGAGGUUGCUUGGGAAGCCCGUCGGUGACAGCGGAGCACAGGUGCGGGUCAGUCAACCAGAACACCACUCCUGGAAAGUGAGAAAGUUCUCUGGGGCAUCAGUUGACAGCCACAGUCUCACCAGCCUUCUGCAUAAUAGUGAUUGUGGUUCUGGUGUAUCCAGGGAAAGCCAGACCCAGACACAUCUUCCAGAUACUGGGCUCUCUGGCUGUGCUAAAGACAGCAAAGGAGACAGCCAACAGCAUGGACGGAAGGUCAGCGGAUCCAGGAGGGACCAGAGAGGUGGAGGUGGGGUUGGAAAAGUGAGACAGAUGCCCAGAGAAGAAUCCUUGCGGUGGGGUGAAGGAUCAACAUGGCCUUGGGACUCCGAGAGUCAGUCAAGGAACCAGCGGCAGAACGAGUCCCCAACAGACUGUGAUGUCACCCUACUGCACAUUGUGCAUCUUUUACAGUGUAGGUCAGUCAAUCUGUCUCAUGUCAGGGAAGAAGGACAAUUUGGAGAUGAUUUUCAACAUAUCCUUCACAACAGACAAACUUGACUCAAGCAAAUAGCAAGAUAUUUAGUAUUCAGAGUAGGUUAGUGAAUGGACAGGAGGAGCGAGCAAUCUUGAUAUAAUUAUUUUUUAUUCCAAGACUGUAAAUUGAAUUUUGUCUACAGUGUAAAAGGUCAUGAUAAAAAGACAAAGGAAUGAAAUAGAAGUUUGGUAAAACAACUGGGUGACCAGAAUAUCAACAACAUCCAUACAAAAUGAUUCACUAUGCUAAAUAAUGACAAUGUAACAGUCUGACUUCAAACCAGGGAAGAACAAGAAGAAAAACCUGUCAUUUAAAAAAAGAUCAGUAGCUAGGUUGCAUGAAAGUCUUGUCUAUGGACCAAAAGUUUAACAAAAAGGUAUGAAUGUGUAGAUUAGCAAAAAGGUAUGAAUGUGUAGUUUAACAAAAAGGUAUGAAUGUGUAGUUUAACAAAAAGGUAUGAAUGUGUAAUUUAACAAAAAGGUAUGAAUGUUAGGUUAACAAAAGGUAUGAAUGUCUAGUUUAACCAAU